GACGAACGCUGGCGGCGUGCUUAUCACAUGCAAGUCGAACGGAAAGGCCCUGCUUUUGUGGGGUGCUCGAGUGGCGAAAGGGUGAGUAACACGUGAGUAACCUUCCCUUGACUUUGGGAUAACUUCAGGAAACUGGGGGUAAUACCGGAUAGGAGUUCCUGCUGCAUGGUGUGGGUUGGAAAGUUUCGGCGGUUGGGGAUGGACUCGCGCCUUAUCAGCUUGUUGGUGGGGUAGUGGCUUACCAAGGCUUUGACGGGUAGCCGGCCUGAGAGGGUGACCGGCCACAUUGGGACUGAGAUGCGGCCCAGACUCCUACGGGAGGCAGCAGUGGGGAAUAUUGCACAAUGGGCGGAAGCCUGAUGCAGCAGCGCCGCGUGCGGGAUGACGGCCUUCGGGUUGUAAACCGCUUUCGCCUGUGACGAAGCGUGAGUGACGGUAAUGGGUAAAGAAGCACCGGCUAACUACGUG
rnacentral:rRNA from 1 species